GCACAAGCGGUGGAGCAUGUGGUUUAAUUCGAAGCAACGCGAAGAACCUUACCAGGUCUUGACAUCCCCUGACAACCCAAGAGAUUGGGCGUUCCCCUUCGGGGGACAGGGUGACAGGUGGUGCAUGGUUGUCGUCAGCUCGUGUCGUGAGAUGUUGGGGUUAAGUCCCGCAACGAGCGCAACCCUCGCCUCUAGUUGCCAGCAUUCGGUUGGGCACUCUAGAGGGACUGCCGGCGACAAGUCGGAGGAAGGUGGGGAUGACGUCAAAUCAUCAUGCCCCUUAUGACCUGGGCUACACACGUGCUACAAUGGGCGGUACAAAGGGCUGCGAACCCGCGAGGGGGAGCGAAUCCCAAAAAGCCGCUCUCAGUUCGGAUUGCAGGCUGCAACUCGCCUGCAUGAAGCCGGAAUCGCUAGUAAUCGCGGAUCAGAACGCCGCGGUGAAUACGUUCCCGGGCCUU
rnacentral:rRNA from 1 species